GAUUUGAGGAUGCACAGUCUCUUCCAAAACCAGGGCCAGGAGGAGUGGGAGGAGCUUUCUCAAGGGAGAAGAAGCAUAAGGAGAGACAAGAGUCUCUCUCCACCCCACAUACUUCCCAUAAACCACAGUGUCAGGCUCUAAAAGUAUCCCUGAUGCUCUAAAGUCAACUGAGAAACCAGUUCCAGGGGUUAAAACUUGUCUGAGAUAACAACUAAAUUCUAUUUGAUUUCCCACUAUUGGUCAUCUGCUGGGAAUGAGGCAUAAGCCCAGCUCUGUCACAUGGAGGAAAAACAUGAUGCAAUUAACCAAGUUGCUAGUGCAUCAUCUCAUCCUGACCUCUGCCACCAGCCUCCAUCCAGGCCAUCCCCUGCAAUCCCACACAGCCAGCUGGGCCCCUGGGGGCCAUCCCAGCCCCCUCCUCCUGGGUUCCCUUCCCAGGUCCAACUGAGGAUCUUCGCGUGAAGCUCACCUCAGGUACCUAUGUCUGAAUCCCACCAGCAGUGCAAAGACCCUUCCUGGAGGGGAAAGCUCAAGAAACCAGAGCAGCUCCACAGCCCAGGCCUGGAGGGGAAGCCAGAGGGAGUUUAUGCAGCAGGAGCCCUGGGCCGGCCCCGCCCGGCUGCCUGCCUGACUGAGGGCUGCCUCUGCAGUUGAGUCGUCCCCAUCCCCUGGGGGACUGUUUUCUCUAAUAAUCCUUUAAUAUUAGGAAAUAUCUGUCAGUGUUUACAAUUUCCUGAAUGUCUUCAAUUUGCUCCCUUUUUUGUGAUGUUUGUUUGAAUGAAGAAUCUAAAGAUCUGUACAUUGUCAUUGAUAGAUAUAUCUCUGAAAUCCUUUGUAGUUUAGUUUACCCUCUAAGUAAAUCCUCUCUCCACUUUUUUAAUGAAAAAAAAAGUGUCCUUUUUAAUGAAAGCAAAGUAAGGUUGUUUAUGCUGCAGUUUCCCAAACCUGAAUUUUUAAAAUUAAAACACAGUAAAGUCCUUGAAGAACCCUCUCUUCCUUGUGUAGCCUGUAAACUGGCAAUUACAUCCAGAGGCCAGAUUCAGAUUUGAUUAUAAUUAAUAUCUCUCUCUCUCUCUCUC
rnacentral:lncRNA from 1 species